AGUAGUUUGAUCAUGGCUCAGGACAACGCUGGCGGCGUGCCUAACACAUGCAAGUCGAGCGGGGUCCAUCCGGUAGCAAUACCGGGGAAGACCUAGCGGCGAACGGGUGAGUAACACGUGAGAAACCUGCCCCGAAGUCUGGGAUAACCCGAGGAAACUCGAGCUAAUACCGGAUGUCUCUUCUGAUCGCAUGGUCGGGUGAAGAAAGAUUUAUCGCUUCGGGAGGGUCUCGCGGCCUAUCAGCUAGUUGGCGGGGGUUAAACGGGCCCACCAAGGCGUCGACGGGUAGCUGGUCUGAGAGGACGAUCAGCCACACUGGGACUGAGACACGGCCCAGACUCCUACGGGAGGCAGCAGUGGGGAAUAUUGCGCAAUGGGCGAAAGCCUGACGCAGCAACGCCGCGUGCGGGAUGAAGGCCUUCGGGUUGUAAACCGCUUUCAGUGGGGACGAAUUCAGACGGUACCCACAGAAGAAGCCCCGGCCAACUACGUG
rnacentral:rRNA from 1 species